GUAGGUGGCAAGCGUUGUCCGGAAUUAUUGGGCGUAAAGCGCGCGCAGGCGGUUUUUUAAGUCUGAUGUGAAAGCCCACGGCUCAACCGUGGAGGGUCACUGGAAACUGGAGAACUUGAGUACAGAAGAGGAAAGCGGAAUUCCACGUGUAGCGGUGAAAUGCGUAGAGAUGUGGAGGAACACCAGUGGCGAAGGCGGCUUUCUGGUCUGUAACUGACGCUGAGGCGCGAAAGCGUGGGGAGCAAACAGGGAUUAGAUACCCUGGUAGUCCACGCCGUAAACGAUGAGUGCUAAGUGUUAGGGGGUUUCCCGCCCCUUAGUGCUGCAGCUAACGCAUUAAGCACUCCGCCUGGGGAGUACGGCCGCAAGGCUG
rnacentral:rRNA from 1 species